UGGGGAAUAUUGCACAAUGGACGGAAGUUUGAUGCAGCGACGCCGCGUGGAGGGUGUAGGCCUUCGGGUUGUGAACUCCUUUUUCUCGCGAAAAAGGCACAGUUUUGGCUGUGUUGAUGGUAGUGGGGGAAGAAGCGCCGGCUAACUACGUGCCAGCAGCCGCGGUAAUACGUAGGGCGCGAGCGUUGUCCGGAUUUAUUGGACGUAAAGAGCUCGUAGGUGGUUCGUCGCGUCUGUCGUGAAAGCCAGCAGCUUAACUGUUGGUCUGCGGUGGGUACGGGCGGGCUUGAGUGCGGUAGGGGUGACUGGAAUUCCUGGUGUAGCGGUGGAAUGCGCAGAUAUCAGGAGGAACACCGAUGGCGAAGGCAGGUCACUGGGCCGUUACUGACACUGAGGAGCGAAAGCGUGGGGAGCGAACAGG
rnacentral:rRNA from 1 species